rnacentral:rRNA from 1 species
UACGAAGGGGGGCUAGCGUUGCUCGGAAUGACUGGGCGUAAAGGGCGCGUAGGCGGAUGGCACAGUCAGAUGUGAAAUUCCCGGGCUUAACCUGGGGGCUGCAUUUGAUACGUGUUGUCUUGAGUUCGGAAGAGGGUCGUGGAAUUCCCAGUGUAGAGAUGAAAUUCGUAGAUAUUGGGAAGAACACCGGUGGCGAAGGCGGCGACCUGGUCCGACACUGACGCUGAGGCGCGAAAGCGUGGGGGAGCAAACAGGAUUAGAACCGGUACGUC